rnacentral:snRNA from 2 species
AUGGCUUUCAUUUUUCUUUAACCCUGUUCUUAUCGGCUUAAUAUCUGAUAUGGACCUAACUGGUCCAGAUAUUAAACUUAUUUUUGUGAACGGUUCUCCUCCGAAGCUUGCUUCGAGGUCGCCAGGAUAGCAGCGGUCGACGCAGACAUCGCUUCUUGGCCUUUCGGC